rnacentral:rRNA from 1 species
UAGCGAAAUUCCUUGUCGGGGUAAGUUCCGACCUGCACGAAUGGCGUAACGAUGGCCACACUGUCUCCUCCUGAGACUCAGCGAAGUUGAAAUGUUUUGUGAAGAUGCAAUCUCCCCGCGGCUAGACGGAAAGACCCCAUGAACCUUUACUGUAGCUUUGCAUUGGACUUUGACGGGACUUGUGUAGGAUAGGUGGGAGGCUUUUGAAAACCGGGACGCCAGUUCCGGUGGAGCCAACCUUGAAAUACCACCCUGGUGUCGUCGAGGUUCUAACCCAGGCCUGUGAAUCCAGGUCGGGGACCGUGCAUGGUGGGCAGUUUGACUGGGGCGGUCUCCUCCCAAAAGGUACGGAGGAGUACGAAGGUCACCUAGGUACGGUCGGACAUCGUACUGAUAGUGCAAUGGCAAAAGGUGGCUUGACUGCGAGACCCACAAGUCGAG